CUUUCGAAACAGCUUUGGAAGCGGAGGCUUUUGUGCGAAAAUUAAAAUCUGAAGCAAGUGCAAGAGGGACAGCAAUGGACACUAAAUAACUUGACAAACGCGGACGCAAUACAGACAGCAGCUCCUCCUCUCAGCAGAUGACUCAGGACCCUCGCUGCGAAGCUCAGACGACCCCCUGCAGAGGCCCAGGGGUCUGUACAGCCUCAUAUAGCAUCUGUUGUGUGGUAAAAACUGGGUCUGAAUCUCGUCUCCUCUCACUUCCUGGUUGAGAAACCUGGAUCAGGCCUUGAGCCCCCCCCACCACCUGCUGGUCUCUCAGUCAGACCCAGACUCAGAGGAGGAGUCUGAGACCAGAACCAGAGACUAGCAGACGGGCCAGAACCGUUAGCACAGUUAGCAUCUUGUAUCUGUUGAUGUUGUUUGUUAGCUUGUAACUGGCAGUGGCUGACACAGUGUUAGCGGUUGUGCUAAUGCUAACUCUCUCUGUCAGGAUUGGUUCCUCAGGUGUGUGACGUAUACAACCCUGAAUCUGUGUUUAUGAGACUGUGAUUGGUUCACUGCAGGUCAAGGUGGAAACACUCAGUCAUGGAGUUGAUGGUUAUUUCAUCAUCAUGUGUCUGUGUUAUAUAAAAACAUCAUGUGGAUGUUAACGAGGUGAAACUCUGGAUUUCUAUUGGAGGGUCUUUAGAUAUUUUCAGCAA